rnacentral:rRNA from 1 species
GGGAUGAGCUCAAAUUUGUAAUCUGGUGGACUCAGUUCAUCCGAGUUGUAAUCUAUAGAAAAGUUUUCCGCGUCGGACCGUGUCUAAGUCCCUUGGAACAGGGUGUCAGAGAGGGUGAGAAUCCCGUGCUUGAUACGACCACCGAUGCUAUGUGAUACUUUUUCAACGAGUCGAGUUGUUUGGGAAUGCAGCUCAAAAUGGGUGGUAAAUUCCAUCUAAAGCUAAAUAUUGGCGAGAGACCGAUAGCGAACAAGUACCGUGAGGGAAAGAUGAAAAGCACUUUGGAAAGAGAGUUAAACAGUACGUGAAAUUGUUAAAAGGGAAACGAUUGAAGUCAGUCGUGCUCUCUGAGAUUCAGCCAGUUAUUCUGGUGUAUUUCUCAGUGAGCGGGUCAACAUCAGUUUAGAUCGCUGGAUAAGGUCAUUAGGAAUGUGGCUCCCUCGGGAGUGUUAUAGCCUAGUGUCGCAUACAGUGGUUUAGACUGAGGAACGCAGCUCGCCUUUAUGGCCGGGGUUCGCCCACGUCCGAGCUUAGGAUGUUGACAUAAUGGCUUCAAACGACCCGUCUUGAACCACGGA